CAGUAGCCACUGUAAUACGAAGGGUGCAAGCGUUACUCGGAAUUACUGGGCGUAAAGCGUGCGUAGGUGGUGGUUUAAGUCCGUUGUGAAAGCCCUGGGCUCAACCUGGGAAUUGCAGUGGAUACUGGGUCACUAGAGUGUGGUAGAGGAUAGUGGAAUUUCCGGUGUAGCAGUGAAAUGCGUAGAGAUCGGAAGGAACAUCUGUGGCGAAGGCGACUAUCUGGGCCAACACUGACACUGAGGCACGAAAGCGUGGGGAGCAAACAGGAUUAGAUACCCCAGUAGUCCCUGUCUCUUAUAC
rnacentral:rRNA from 1 species